AUCCAGCUGACGAGUGCCAAAUAGGACGAAACGCGCGUUCUGGAU
rnacentral:hammerhead_ribozyme from 1 species